CAGCCGCCGCGGGAAUACGAGGGGGGCAAGCGUUGUUCGGAAUUAUCGGGCGUAAAGGGUGCGUAGGCGGUUUGAUAAGUCAUCUGUGAAAUCUCUGGGCUCAACCCAGAGUCUGCAGGCAAAACUGCCGGGCUUGAGUGUGGGAGAGGUGAGUGGAAUUUCCGGUGUAGCGGUGAAAUGCGUAGAUAUCGGAAGGAACACCAGUGGCGAAGGCGGCUCACUGGACCGACACUGACGCUGAGGCGCGAAAGCGUGGGGAGCAAACAGGAUUAGAUACCCCCGUAGUCCCUGUCUCUUAUAC
rnacentral:rRNA from 1 species